GACGAACGCUGGCGGCGUGCUUAACACAUGCAAGUCGAACGGAAAGGCCCUGCUUUUGUGGGGUGCUCGAGUGGCGAACGGGUGAGUAACACGUGAGUAACCUGCCCUUGACUUUGGGAUAACUUCAGGAAACUGGGGCUAAUACCGGAUAGGAGCUCCUGCUGCAUGGUGGGGGUUGGAAAGUUUCGGCGGUUGGGGAUGGACUCGCGGCUUAUCAGCUUGUUGGUGGGGUAGUGGCUUACCAAGGCUUUGACGGGUAGCCGGCCUGAGAGGGUGACCGGCCACAUUGGGACUGAGAUACGGCACAGACUCCUACGGGAGGCAGCAGUGGGGAAUAUUGCACAAUGGGCGGAAGCCUGAUGCAGCAACGCCGCGUGCGGGAUGACGGCCUUCGGGUUGUAAACCGCUUUCGCCUGUGACGAAGCGUGAGUGACGGUAAUGUGUAAAGAAGCACCGGCUAACUACGUG
rnacentral:rRNA from 1 species